AUAACAUGCAUCAUCAUUGCCAUCUCUCUUAUAAACUUAUGCAUUGAUAGUAUUUUUUGAUUUUUUAUACCAAUAAAAUUGUUAGUAUUACUAUAUGUAUAAAUUUUCAAUGUUUAUACUAAUAAAAUUGUUACUAUCCCCUUUUGUUGCAAAUUUUGGAUUUUGAUUGCAGGUGGGGGUUCUGUGGCCAAAAGGGUGAUUGGGUUUGUGGCAAAGGCCACCUUGAAUUCCGUUGAGGGCAUUUUGGCUAACAACAAGUCCAACAACAACCCCAUUGCUGUUAUUGACAACCAUGACAGCUUCACCUGUAAUCUCUGCCCAGUAUAUGGGGGAGUUAGGGUUUCACUUUGAGGUCUACUAUUAAAUUUUAUAGUGCAGCAAAGGCAUCCGAAAGGUCCCCUUAAAAAUCGGUUCAUAAGGGGGUGGAUUACCCAGCUAUAUAAGCACUUAUCAAGUUUGUUAAACAUCCGAUGUGGAACUAUUCUCAACAUCUACGGCAAUGAUGAGUUGACAGUGGAGGAGUUGAAAAGUAAAAAUUCCAGUGGAGUGCUGAUAUCACCUGGGCCAGGAGAACCUCAAGAUUCUGGCAUAUCUUUGCAAACAGUUUUGGAGCUUGGACCAACUGUGCCAUUGUUUGGUGUGUGCAUGGGUUUGCAGUGCAUUGGAGAGGCUUUUGGAGUCCUUUCUUGGCUGGUAGAUAUCAUAGCCUUGUAAUUGAGAAAGAUAACUUUCCUAAUGAUGAACUUGAGGUUACAGCCUGGACAGAAGAUGGUCUUAUAAUGGCUGCUCGUCAUAAGAAAUAUAAGCAUCCACAGGGAGUUCAGUUUCAUCCAGAGAGCCUUAUAACCCCAGAAGGCUAGACAAUUUGUCCGUAAUUAUGUGAAGCUUAUUGAGAGAAGGGAGGCUGGUGGUUCUUGAAACAAUGUUUGAUGUGUAUAGUUAAAAUUGUGGCUUGACACAACAAACUAAAAUAAAGGAAAGGUAUAAUGACACCUUUGUCAGCAACAGUUUAGAUAAAUCAUAGAAAAUCUUGGUGGGGAAGAACCUUGACCUGAUAUUGAUCCAUUAUUUGAUUCCCCUAAGAUCUAUAAAAGUUUGAUUUUAGUUUCUCCC
rnacentral:lncRNA from 1 species